GAGCGCGUAGCUCAGAUGGUAGAGCACGUGACUUUUAAUCACGGGGUCCUGGGUUCGAUCCCCAGCGCGCUCACCA
rnacentral:tRNA from 1 species